AUAGUCAUUUUAGUUAUGACAGCGACAUGCCAUUUCGUUUUAUUUCUGUAUUGUUGUAAGUAAAAUAUCGCAUUUAUACCAUAAUCGCUUAAUUAUGUUAAUUGACUAACCUUAGAGUCAAACUGCUCGUCAAAACCACCUUUUUACUAGGGAGGAGACGGUUCGCGCUGGAGACUGCUAGCAAGAUUCCUGAGCAAAUGAACCAAUCAGAAGAUGGACCAUUUUCUAUGUUCACCAUUCAGAAGACUCUCUGCCAGAAGGUACCUAACAUCAGCGCACAGCUACCCCUUCACUGCAGAUAAGCUGAAGGCUAAAUCCUCAAUUGGAGUCUUUCUCUCUAUGGAUCUCAGCAUUUUUGGACAGAAUUUAGAAUAUUGUUGGAACCAGGGAUCUCUACUGAAGGACUGAGUACAUUUGUGUUUGUGGACACGCAUACAGACCAGGGAACAUUCUGAUGCUGUCAGUCAAGUUCUGAGCAGGAUCCAGUCUUCGACGAAGUUCAUUUAUUCCCAAAGGUGGACAAAAACAUUGUGUUGGCUUUUAAAAGGCUAUUUUGAUAAUGAGUUUUACUCCUAUGCUGUGGAAAAGAUGGAGGACUACAGACAUUGCUAAUAAGAAAUAUUUUUGGAGCAUCUUUCAAAAUACUUUUGGCCACCAGUGUACAUCAAUCCAGCAAAGUUUGGAAAAAAGUGAAAUGACUAUGAAGGUGGGGUUAUGUGUCAUGUUACUUAAUGACAUUUCCUUUUUGACUGCUUAAAAUUGUAUGCAUAUAUAUAUUCUGCAGUUAUAUGUAAUUGUUGAUAUUUCAUCAUAAUAAAUGUUUUGAC